rnacentral:rRNA from 1 species
GGAAUCAACGCUGGCGGCGUGCCUAACACAUGCAAGUCGCACGAGAAAGGGACUUCGGUCCUGAGUACAGUGGCGCACGGGUGAGUAACACGUGAAUCAUCUACCUUCGAGUGGGGAAUAACUGAGAGAAAUCUUAGCUAAUACCGCAUAAUACCUACGGGUCAAAAGCAGCAAUGCGCUUGAAGAGGAGUUCGCGGCAGUAUUAGUUAGUUGGCGGGUAAUGGCCCACCAAGACGAUGAUCUGUA